rnacentral:lncRNA from 1 species
GUCUGACGAGAGUGCAUACUUUUUCUCUUUCAGAUUAUGAUGUUUAUGCUUAGGCUCCCUGUGAACAGCAGUGUACAGACAACUUUGGCCGUGUGCUGUGCACCUGUUAUCCAGGAUACCAAUAUGACCGCGAGAGACACCGGAAGCGGGAGAAGCCCUACUGCCUGGGUGAGUUGGAAAUGCGUGCUAUUUUCCAGCUCCUAACUGGCAGUGAGAUGUAAAAGCCAAAGACGGGGAACCAGGCCAGAUGUAAUAGAAUAAUGCAAAACAGGAAAUGAGUGGUCUGGAAUGUAAACCAGAGAAGCAAGAAUGAGUGUUCUCAAGAGGUGACUGGGGGAACGGAGGUGUGCGUGUGGCAGGAGGUUAGAGGCAAACUUGGCUGUAGCUGAGCAGUUGCCUGGCCAUCACCAGGGGCACCAGCUUGCUCUGGUCGUUCUCCUUGACUGGGCAUUCUUAGUGCCCUCCUUGAAUUCCUGAGGAGGUUUAGGGCUCAUGGUCUGGAACUGUGUGUUUGAGUGUGGCAAGCCCAUGACUAACCUGUCUCCCCAACUGGGGUCCCUGCUUGAAAGGUUCCUGGCCCCUCCUACAGACAUAGUGAGCCACAACUUUGAGGGUAGGUCCAGGGACGUGCAUUUACAUGAGUGAGUACUAUGCUCAGUGAAGUUUCAGAUCAACUGGAAGAAGAAUAGAGACCUCAGAUGGACCCAGGUGGGAAAUAAGCCAAGAACCUCCACAACUUCAGCUAUCCAGAAACUCUCCAAACCCUACCCUUUUGAGUUUUUAUGGAGACUCCAUUGCAGAGGCAUGAAUGUCAAUACAGUGGGUGGGGAAACUCAGCAGGGCACCUCCAUUUGGCUGCACCAAGGAUUCAGGGGACAACCCACCUAGAAGAGAGACCCCUUGAAGCUGAUGAUGGGUUGAGAUCAGGUAUGGCAGCAACCAGGGUCCAGUUGUCCCUCCAUUAAGGAGCAAGACCCCCUAGAACCCGGAUGUCAAGGGGAGAUCAGGUACUGCCGCAACCAGGGUCCAGGAGAUUCCUCCCUCUAGAGACAAGACCACUCGGACCAGGUGCUAGGGGGAAAGGAGUUCCAGCCGCACCCAGGGUCCAGGGGCACCCACCUCUAAGGGCGAGACACCUCGAACCCGGUGCCGAGGGAAGAUCAGGUACGGCCACAUCCAGGGUCCCGGGAAAUUCCCCCUCUAGGGGCAAGACCCCUUGAACCCGGGUGUUGGGGGAAGAUCAGGUACGAACACACCCAGGGUCCAGGGGAUGCCCCCCUCUAGGGGCCAGAUCCCUCUAACCCUGGUGCCAGGGGAAGAUCAGGUACGGCUGCACCCAGGGUCCUCUCUUUAGGUUCGAGACCCAUCGAAACCAGGUGCCAAUUGGAGAUCAGGUAUGGCCGCCCCAAGGUCCAGGGACUCCCCCCUCUAGGGGCCAGACCCCUCGACCCUGGGGGGAGACCAAGUACCACCGCACACAGAUGGAAGGGACUCCCCCGCCUCUAGGGGAGAGAACCUCAAACCCAGAAUCCGGGGGGAGAUAAUGUAUGCCUGCACCGAGGGUCCAGGUGACUCCCCCCUCUAGGGGAUAGACCCCUCGAACCCGUGUGUCGGGGGAGCUCCCACUGCAGCCAGGGUCGAGGGGACUCCGCACUCUAGGAGCGAGACCUCUUGAACCCGGAUGCAGGGGGAGAUCAGGUAAGGCAGCACCUAGGGUUCAGGGACGCCCCCCUGUAGCGGCGAGACUCCUCCAAACUAGAUGGCAGUGAGAGACCAGGUACAGCCGCACCAGGGUCAAGGGGACUCCCCUCUCUAGGGACAAGACCUCUUGAACCCGGUGUUGGAGAGACAUAAGGUAUGGCCACACCCAGGGUUCAGGGGAUCCCCUCUCUAGGUGUGAGACCCCUAGAACCAAGUGCCAUGGGGAGAACAGUUACGGCCACACCCAGGGUCCAGGGGACUCCCCCCUCUAGUGGGGAAACCUCUCAAACCACGUGCCAAGAGGAGAUCGGAUAUGGCUUCACCCAGGGUACAGGGUAUGCCCCCCUCUGGGAUGAGACCCCUUGAACCUGGGUGCCAGGGGAGAUCAGGUACUGCCACACCCAGAGACCAGAGGAUGCCCCUCUAUAGGAGCAAGACCCCUCAAACCCGGGUGCCGAGAGGAGAAUAGGUAUGGUGGCACCAUGUGUCCAGGGGGUCAAAGAACCUGGAACCAGGUGCCGGAGGAGAUCAGGUAGGGCCACACCCAGGGUGCAGGGGACUCCCCCCUCUAGGGGAGAGACCCCCCAAACCUGAUGCUGGGGGCAGAUCAGGUGUGGCAGUAACUAGGAUCCAGGGGUCCCUGGAACACGGAUGCCGGAGAAAGAUCAGGUACAGCCGCACCCAGGCCCAGGGUACUCUGCCCUACUGGGGCGUGACUCCUCAAACAAGGUGCUGGGGGGAAAGCAGGUACAACCGCACCCAGGGUCCAGGGGAGCCCGCCUCUAAGGGCGGGAGCCAUCCAAUCCGGUGCCUAGGGUAGAUCAGGUAGGGCAGCAGCCAUCGUUCAGGGGAUGCACCCCUCUACGGGAGAGACACCUCGAAACUGUAUGCCAGGGGUAGAUCAUAUAUGGCCACACCAACGGUCCAGGGGACUCUCCACUUUAGGGGCAAAACCUCUUGAACCAGGUGCCGGAGUGAGAACAGUGCCGCACCCAGGGUCCAGGGGAAGCCCCCUCUCUAGGGACGAGAUCCCUUGAACAUGGGUGCCGGGGGGAAUCAGGUAUGACCGCACCUAGGGUCCGAGGGACUCCCCCCUUUAGGGGAGAGAUCCCUAGAACCAGGGUGCCCAGGGGGGAGAUCAUGUAUAGUACAACUUCACCCAGGAUAGAGGGGACCCCCUCUUCUACUGGUGAGAAACCUCGAACCUGGGUGUCAGUGGAGAUCAGGUACUGCAGCUCCCAGUGUCCAGGGACCUCCCCCUUCUAGGGGCAAGACCGCUUGAACCCAGUGCCCAGGGGAGAUGAGCUAUGACCAUGCCCAGUGUCCAGGGGAUGCCCCCCUCUAAGGGCAAGACCCCUCUAACCCAGGUGCUAUUGAGAGAUAAGGUACGGCUGCACCCAUGGUCCAGGGAACUCCCCCCUCUACGGGAGAGACCCUUUGAACAUGGAUGCUGGGAGACAUCAGGUAUCGCUGCACCCAGGCUCCAAGGGACUCCCCCUUCUAGGGGAGAGACCAAUCGAACCUGGGUGCCUGGGGGAGAUCAAGUACCACCGAACCCUGUGUGCAGUGGUCUCCCCCCACUAGGGGCGAGAUUCCUCGAACCUGGUGCAGGGUGGAGAUAAAGUAAGGCCACACCAAGAGACCAGGGAACGCCCCCCUCUAGGGUCGAGACCCCUCCAACCUGGGUGUUGGGGGGAGAUCAGGUAAGGCAGCACCCAGGGUCUAGGGGACUCCACCCUCUAUGGGAGAGAAGCCUCAAAACAGAUGCGGGAAGGAGAUCAGGUACAGUAGCUCCUAGGGUCCAUUGAUGCCCCCCUCUAUGGGCAAGUCUCCUCGAACUCAGAUGCCAGGGGUAGAUCAGAUAAAGCCGCACCCAGGGUCCAGGGAACUCCCUACUUUAGGGGCAAAACCUUUCACACCAGGUGCUGGGGAGAGAUCAGGUAUGGCCUCACUCAGGGUCCAGGGGAAGCCCCUUUCUAGGGAUGAGAUCCCUUGAACCCGGUUUCUGGGAAAGAUCAGGUAAGGUUGCACCUAAGGUCCAAGGGACUCCCCCCUUUAGUGGAGAGACCCCUCAAACCCAGGUGCCCAGGGAGAGAUCCUGUAAGGUACAGAUGCACCCAGUAACCAGGGGAUGCCCUUCUCUAUUUGUGAGACACCUCCAACCUGGGUGCCAGAGGGAGAUCAGGUACUGCCACUCCCAAUGUCCAGGGAACUCCCCCAUCUAGGGACCAGACCCCUGGAACCUGGUGCCCAGGGGAGAUGAGGUAUGACUGCACCCAGUGUCCAAGGGAUGGGCCCCUUUGGGAGCAAGACACCUCUAACCCGGGUGCAAUUGGGAGAUAAUGUACUGCCACACCCAAGGAUCAGGGGUCCCCCUCAUUAGGGUCAGGACACCACAAAGCCAGGUGCCAGGGGCAGAUGAGGGUCCAGGGGACUCCCUCCUCUUGGGCGAGACCCCUCGAACCCUGGGGGAGAUCAAGUACCGCCACACACAGGGUCGAGAUCCUCGAACCCGAUGCCAGUGGGAGAUAAGGUAGAGCCACACCCAGGGUCCAAGGGAAUCCCCUCCAUAGGGGAGAGAACCCUCGAACCUGGGUGCCAGGGACAGUUCCCAUCCCAGCCAGUGUCCAGGGGACUCCCCACUUUAGGGGCAAAACCUCGAGAACCAGGUGCCAGGGGAAGAUCAGGUAAAGCAGCACCCAAGGUCCAGGGACGCCCCCUCUAGGGGCGAAACUCCUUGAACCAGGGUGCGGGGCCGGGGGAAGAGUUAUGGCUGCACCCAGGGUCCAGGGGACUCUCCCCUCUAGGGGCAAGACCCCUCAAACACAGUGCAAGGGGGAGAUCAGGUACAGCCACACCCAGGUUCCAGUGGACUCCCGCCCAUAGGGGUGUGACCCCUUGAACCAGGUGCUUGGGGGAAAUCAGGUAUGGCCGCACCCAGGGUCCAGGGGCGCCCAGCUCUAGGGGUGAGAAACCUCAAACCAAGUGUGGCGGGUAUAUCAUGUAUGGCUGGACCAGGGAACAGAUGAUGCCCCCCUCUAUGGCAAAACCCUUCGAACUUGGGUGCUGGGGGAACAGCAGGUACGGCCACACCCAGGGACCAAGGGCACCCCCUUGUAGGGGUGAGACACCUGGAACCUGGGUGCUGGGGAAGAUCAGGUACUGUUGCACCCAGGGUCCAGGGAACUCUUCCCUCUAGGGGCAAAAACCCUGGAACCUGGGAGUCUGGGGGAGAUCAAGUAUGGUACAGUCAACCCAUGGUCCAGGGGAUUCCGCCCUCUAGGGAGAAGACCCCUCACACUCACAGUCGGGUGUUGGUAGGAGAUAAGGUACGGCCACACCUAAAGGCCAGGGGAUGGUCCCCCUCUAGGAAUGAGAAUUCUCGAACCAGAUAUGCUGGUGAAAGAUCAGGUAUGGCAGCAACCAGGAUCUAGCCAUCCCCCCUUUAAGGGGCGAGGACCCUUGAACACGGAUGCUCAGGGAGAUCAGGUAGGGCCACACCCAGGGUUUUGGGGACUCCCCCUUCUAGGGGCCAGACUCCUCAAACCCAGUGCCAGGAGGAGAUCAGGUAUGGCCACACCCAGGGACUAGGGGAUGACCCCCCUAGGGGCGAGACCCCUUGAACCUGUGUGCCGGGGGAGAUUAGGUGCAGUGGCACCCAGGUUCUAGGGGACUCACCCCUUAGGGAUGAGACCCUUGGAACAUGGGUGCCAGGGUAGAUGAGGUAAGGCCACACCUAGGUCCAGGGGAAUCCCCUCUCUAGGGGAGAGAAUCCUGAAACCUGAUUCCUGGGGGAGAACAGGUAUGGAAGAAACCAAGUUCCAGGGGCCCUCCCCUUAAUGGGCGAGACUCUCGAACACGGAUGCUUGGGGGAGAUCAGGUACGGCUGCACCCAAGGUCCAGGGGGCUUCCCCCACAAGAGGCAAGAACUCUUGAAUUACGUGUCAUGGGUAGAUCAGAUACAGCCGCACACAGUGUCCAGGGGAAUCCCCCCUCUAGAGGCGAGACCUCUGGAAAAUGGUUGAUGGUGGGAGAUUAGGUACCGUGGCACCCAGGGUCCAAGGGACUCCUUCUUCUAGGGACAAGUCACCUGGAACCCGGGUGCCAGGGGAGAUAAGAUAUGGCCACAUCCAGCGUCCAGAGGACUUCCCCCUCUAGGGGAGAGACCCCUCGAACGUGAUGGCAUGGGGAGAUAAGCUAUGGCAGCAGCCAGGGUCCAGGGGUGCCACAUAAGGGUAGAAACACCUCGAACAUGGAUGCCAGGGGGAGAUCAGGUACUGCUGCACAAGGGUCCAGGGAACUCCCCCCUCUAGGGGCGAAACCCCUCGAACCUAGGUACGCCCGAUCCCAGGGUCCAGGGGAAUCCCCCCUCUAGGGUAGAGACACCUCAAAACAGAUGCCAGGAGGAGAUCAGGUACGGCAGCACCCAGGGUACAGGGAUGCCCCAAUAUAUGGGCGAGUCUUCUCGAACCAAGAUGCUGGGGAUACAUCAAUUAUGGCCACACCCAGUUUCCAGGGGACUCCCCACGUUAUGGGCAAAACCCCUCAAACCCAGUGCCAGUGGGAAAUCAGGUAUGGCCGCACCCAGGGUCCAGGGGAAGGCCCUCUCUAGGGACUAGACCCAUUAAACCCGGGUGCAGAGGUAGAUCAUGUACGGCCACACCCAGGGUCCAGGGGACUCCCCCCUCUAGAGUAGAAGCCCCUUGAACCAGAUACCAGGGGUAGAUCAGGUUCAACCCAGAGUCCAGGCACACCCCCCUAUAGAGACGAGACUCCUCGAACCCGGAUGCCUGAGGGAGAUCAGGUACAGCAACAGCCAGGGUCCGAGCGUCUCUCCCCUCUAGGGAAGCGACCCCUCGAACACGGGUGCCAGGAUGAGAUCAGGUACCACUGCACCCAGGGUCCAGUGGACUCCCCCGGCUAGGUGCAAGACUUCUCAAACCUGGUGCGGGGGAGAUCAGAUAUGGCCGCAACCUGAGACUAGGGAACGACCCCCACUAGGGGCGAGACCUCUCGAUCUUGAGUGUCAGGGGGAAAUUAGGUACGGCCGCACCCAGGGACCAAGGGACGCCCCCCUCUAGGGGUGAGACCCAUGGAAACUGUAUGCGGAGGAAGAUCAGGUACUGCCGCACCCAGGGUCCAGGGAACUCCCCCCUAAGGGGUGAAAGCCCUCGAACCUGGGUGGCGGGGGGAGAUCAGGAAUUGCGGCACCAAGGGUCCAGGGAACUUCCCCCUCUAGGGACGAGACACCUGAAAGCCUGAUGAUGGGGUAGAUAAGGUGCCGCAGCACCCAGGGUCCAGGGGACUCCCCUCUAUAGGGGAGAGGCCCCUUGAAACAGAUGCCGGGAGGAGAUCAGGUACGGCACCUCCGAGGGUCCAGGGAUGCCCCCAUCUAUGGGCGAGUGUCCUCGAACCCGGAUGCCAGGGUGAAGAUCAGAUACAGCCACACCCAGAGUCCAGAGGACUCCCCACUUUAGGGGUGAAACCUCUCGAACCAGGGGCUGGGGCGAGAUGAGGUACAGCCGCACCCAGGAUCCAUGGGAAGCCACUCUGUAGGGACAAGAUCCCUUGAAACGGGGUGCCGGGGGAGAUCAGGUACGGCUGCACCUAGGGUCCAAGGGGAUCCUCACUUUAGGGGACAGACCCCACGAACCCGGGUGCCACGUGACAUCAAGUAAGGUACGGCUGCACCCAGGAUCCAGGGGAUGCCCUUCACUACUGACGAGACACCUCGAACCUGGGUGGUGUGGGGCGAUCAGGAACUGCCACUCCCAGUGUCCAGAGAACUCCCCCCUCUAGGUGUGAGACCCCUGGAACCUGGUGCCUAGUGGAGAUGAGGUACCACCGCACCCAAUGUCUAGGGGAUGUCCCCCUCUAGGGGCGAGACCCUUCUAACCUAGUGUCAUUGGGAGAUCAGGUAUGGCCACACCAAGGGUCCAGGGAUCCCCCUCUUAGGGUAAAGACACCUCAAGCCCGGGUGCCAGGGGCAGAUCAGGUACGCCUGUAUUCAGGGUCCAGGGGAUUCCCCCCUCUAGGUGCGAGACCCCUCGAAUCCCGGGGGAGAUCAAGUACCAUCGCACACAGGGUCGAGGAGACUCCAGUUUGUAGGGGCGAUACCCUUAAACCUGGAUGCCUGGAAGAGAUAAGGUAUGGCCGCACCCAGGGUCCAAGGGACUCCCCCCUCUAGGGUAGAGACCCCUCGAACUCGGGUCCCAGGGCAGAUCAGGUACAGUUGCACCCAGGGUCUAGGUGAAUCCCACCUCUAGAGUAGGGACCCCUCAAACCAGGUGCCAUAGGGAGAUCAGUACAACCGCAAACAGGGUCCAGGGGACUCCCCCCUCUAAGGCCGAGACCCCUCGAACCAGGGAAAGAUCAAGUACUGCAACACACAGGGUCCAGGGGAUUCCUUCCUCCAGGGGCUAGACCUUCAAACCCGAUGCCGGGGUAGAUCUUGUACAGCUGCACCCAGGGUCCAGGGGACACCCUUCUCUAGGGAAAAGACCCCUUGAAGCCAGGUGCCAGGGGAGAUCAGGUACUACGGCACCCAGGGUCCUAUGGACUCCCCCUCUCUAGGGGCGAGACACCUCAAAACCGGUGCGAGGUGGAGAUCAGGUAUGGCGACAACCAGGGACCAGUGAACACACCCCCUCUAGGGGCAAGACCCCACAAAACCAGGUGCCAGGGGGACAUCAGGUAAGGCCGCACACAGGGACCAGGGGAUGCCCCCUCUAGGUGUGAGAACCCUGGAACCUGGGUGCUGGGGAAGAUCAAGUACUGCCACACUAGGGACCAGGGAACUCCCCACUCUAGGGGAGAAACCUCUCGAACCUGGGUGCCCCGCAAGAUCAGGUACAGCCACACCAAGGGUCCAGGGCACUCCCCACUUUAUGGGCAAAACCUCUCCAACCAGGUGCCGGGGGGGGGGGGGAAUCAGGUAUGGCCGCACCCAGGGUCCACGGGAUGCCCCCUGAGGGGCAAGACCUCUCAAUACCGGGUUCUAGGGGGACAUCAGGUACGACUGCGAACAGAGACUAGGGGACGCCCACUCUAAGGGUGAGACCCCUCGAAUCUGGGUGUCAGGGGAGAUGAGGUAUGGCCUCACCCAGUGUCCAGGUGUCUGCCUCUUUAUUGGAGAAACCCCUCUAACAUGGGGCUGGGGGGAGACCAGGUUCCAUGGGACUCCCCCCUCUAGGGGCGAGACCCCUUGAACCCAUGGGGAGAUCAGGUACCACUGCACACAAGGUCGACAGGACUUCCCCAUCUAGGCGAGAGACUACUCAAACCCUGGUGGUGGGGCAAAAUCAAUUUCGGCUGCAGCCAGGAUUCAGGAGACUCCCCCCUCUAGGGACGAGAGCCCUUGAACCCGCGAGUCGGGGGAUAUAAGGUAUGAACACACCCAGGGUUAAAGAAUCUCCCCCAUGUAGGGGCGAGACCCCUCAAACCAGGUGCCAUUCAGAGAUCAGGUAUGGCCACACCCAGAGUCCAGGGGCCUCCCCCAUCUAGGGGGGAAACCUCUUGAACCAGGUGACAGGAGGAGAUGAGGGAUGGCCGUACCCAGGGUCCAGGGAAGACCCCUCUAAGGAGGAGACUCCUGGAACCCGGGUUCCUGGGGGGAUCAGGUACAGCCACACCCAGGGUCCAGGGGACAUCCCCACUAGGCGAGAGACCCCUCGAAGCUGACGCAGGGGGUGGGGGAUCAGGUAAAGCAGCAACCAGGGUCCAGUGAUCCCCACAUUAAGGGGAGAGACUCCUCAAACACGGAUGCCGGGGGAGAUCAAGUACUGCUGCACCCAGGGUCCAGGGUACUCCCCCCUCUAGGGGCGAGAACCCUUGGACCAGGGGCUGGAGAAAAAUGAGGUAAGGCCACACCCAUGUACAGGGGCACCCACCUCUAAGGGCGAGACACCUCGAACCUGGGUGCCAGGGGGUGAUAAGGUAUGGCUGAUUACAGUGUCCAGGGAACUCCUUCCCUAGGAGCGAGACUCCUGGAACCCCAUGCCUAGGGGAGAUAAGGUACUACCAUACCCAGGGACCAGGGGAUGCACCCCUCUAGGAACGAGACCCCUCGAGCCCAGGUGUCAGGGGAAGAUCAGGUACGGCAGCACCCAGAAUCCAGGGACACACCCCCUAAGGGCAAGACUCCUCAAACUGGAGGGAGAUCAGGUAUGGCCGCACCCAGGGACCAGAGGACACCCCGCUCUAGGACGAGACCCCUCAAACCCAGAUUUUUGGGUGAGAUCAGUUACAGCUGCACCCAGGAUCCAGGGCAAGCCCCCUUCUUUUGGCAAGACCACUCUAAUCGGGGUUCAAUUGGGAGGUAAGGUACGCUGCACCCAGGGUCCAGAGGUCCCCCUCUCUAGGGUUGAGACCCCUCAAACCCAGGUGCCAGGGGCAGAUCAAAUACACCUCAACCCAAGGUGCGGGGAAUUCCCCCCCCUCUAGAGGCGAGAACCCUCAAACCUGGGGGGAGAUAAAGUACCGCCACACACAGUGUUGAGGAGACUCCCCCUUCUAAGUGCGAGACCCUUGAACCUGGAUGCCGGGGAGAGAUAAGGUAUGACCGCAACCAGGGUCCAAGUGACUCCCCCCUCUAGGGUAGAGACCCCUCGAACCAGAUGCCAGUGUGAGAUCAGGUACGGUAGCACCCAGGGUCCAGGGACACCCCCCUCUAGGGGCAAGACUUCUCACACAAGGAUGCUGGAAGGAGAUCAGGUACAGCCACACCCAGGGUCCAAGGGACUCCCCCCUCUAGGCAUGAGACCCCUCAAAACCUGGUGUCAGGGAGAGAUAAGGUGCCACCUCACCCAGGGUCCAGUGGACUUCUCCCAUUAGGGGCAAGACUCCUGGAACCUGGUGUGGGGAGGAGAUCAGUUACUCCUGCACCCAGAGACCAGGGGACGCCCCCCUCUAGUGGCAAGACCCCUCGAACCUGGAUGCCGGAGGGAGAUCAGGCACGGUGCACCCAGGGACCAGGGGACAACCCCCCUCUAGGGGCAAGACCCCUCGAAUCUGGGUGCUGGAGGAAGAUCAGAUACUGCCGCACCCAGGAUCCAGGAAACUCCCCCUUCAAGGGGCAAAAGCCCUCGAACCCUGGGUGCCGGGGGGAGAUCAGGUACACCGGCACCAAGGGUCCAUGGGACACCCUCCUCAAGGUACAAGACCCCUGGAACACGGGUGAUGAGGGGAGAUAAGGUACAGCCCCACCUGGGGUCCAGGGGACACCCCUCUCUAGGGGAGAUACCGGUGAACCAGGGUCCUGGGGGGAGAACAGGUAAGGCCGCACCCAGGGUCCAGGGGACUCCCCCUCUAGGGUAAAGACCCCUCAAACCAGAUGCCAGAGGGAUACCAGGUACAGGAGCACCAAGGGUCGAGGGACACGCUUCUCAAGGGGCGAGAACCCUCAAACCCGGUGUGGCGGGCAGAUCAGGUACAGACGCAGCCAGGGAACUUCGGAUGACCCCAUGUAGGGGAGAAAGCCCUAGAAUCUGGGUGCUGGGGGAACAUCAGGUACCGCCACACCCAGGGACCAAGGGACGCCCCCCCCUCUAGAUUUGAGACACCUGGAACCCGGGUGCUAGGGAAGAUCAGGUACUGCCGCACCAUGAUCCAUGGAACUCCCCCAUCAAGGGGCAAGACCGUCAAACAUGAUGCCUGGGGUUGAUCAGGUACGGUGACAACCAGGGUCCAGGGUACUCCCCCCUCUAGAGGUGAAACCACUCAAACUUGGGUGCCGGGGGAAGAUCAGGUACCAUAUGGCUGCAACCAUGGUCCCCGGGACUCCGUCCUCUAGGGAAGAGACCUGUCAAACCUAUUUGAAGGCGGGAGAUCAGGUACUGCCACACACAUGGUCCAGGGAACUCCCCUAUCUAGGGAUGAGUCCGUCAAACAGGUGCUGGGGGGAGAUCAGGUACUACCGCAACCAGGGUCCAGCGGACUCCACAAACUAGGGGUGAAACCCCUGGAACUCUGAUUAAGAUCAAGUACUGCCACACACAGGGUGGAGGGAACUCCCCCCUCUAGGGGUAAGACCUUCAAACCCGGAUGCAGGGGGGAGACCAUGUGUGGCCGCACCUGGGGUCCAGGGGACUCCCCCUUCUAGAGGAGAGACCAUUUGAACCUGAGUGUCAAGCUCCUGCCGCAGCCAUUGUUGAGGGGACUCUCUACUCUAGGGGCGAGACACCUUAGACAUGGGUCCCAGGGGGAGAUAAGAUACGGCUUCACUUAGGGACCAGGGGAUGUCCCCCUCUAGGGAGGAGACCCCUAAAACCCAAGUGCUGGGGAAGAUCAGGUACUUCCACAUCCAGGUUCCAGGGGACUCCCCCCUCUAGGGGCGAGACCCCUUGAACCCGGGUACUGGGGGGAGAUUUGGUACCACCACACCUAGGUUCCAGUGGACUCUUCCGUCUAGGGGCGACAUCCCUCGAACCUGGUGCGUGGGAAGAUCAAGUACUGCCAAACACAGGUCCAGGGGAUGUCCCCCUCUAGAGGCAAUACCCGUGGAUCCUGGGUACUGGGGUAAAAUCAGGUAUGGCAGCACCCAGGGUCCAGGGACACCCCCUUCUAGGGGCAAGAACCCUCAAACCUGGUGCAGGGCGGAUAUCAGGUACGGCUGCACCCAGGAACCAGGGAAUGCCCCUGUCUAGGGGCGAGACCUCUCUAACCUGGUGCUGGGGGGACAUCAGGUAAGGCUGCACCCAGGGACCAGGGGACGUCCCCCUCUCGGGUCGAGACCCCUGGAAACUUGGAUGCUGGUUAAGAUAGGUACUGCGGCAUCCAGGGUCUAGGGAACUCCCCGCUAUAGGGGCAAAACCCGUCAAACCUGGGUGCCAGGGGGAGAUCAGAUACAGUCUUGCCACAUCCAGGACCCAGAGUACUCCCUCCUCUAGGGACGAGACCAUUCGAAACUGGGUGUCAGUGGGAGAUAAAGUUCGGCCCCACACAGGUUCAAGGGGAUGCCCAUCUAGGGACAAGACCCCUAAAACACGGUUGUUGGUGGGAGAAAAUGUUUGAUCGCACCCAGGGUCCAGGGAACACCCCCAGGGGUCUCACCCCUGGAAUUCGGGUGCCAGGGAAGAUCAGGUACAACCAUACCCAGGGUCCAGGGUUCCCCCUCUGUAGGGACGAGACCCUUCAUACCCGGGUGAAGUGGGGAGAUCAGGUAUGGGGCGCACCCUGGGUCCAGGGAAAUCCCCCUUCUAAGGGUGAGACCCCUAAACACUGCCUGUGGGAGAUCAGGUACGGCCGCAUCCAGGGACAAGUGGACACUCCCCUCUAGGGAUGAGACCCCCUCGAACCUGGGUGUUUGGGGGAGAUCAAUUAUGGCCUCACCCAAGGUCCAGGGCACGCCCCCUUCUAGGGGUAAGAUCCUUCUAACACGGGUGCCAGUGGAAGAUAAGUUUCGGCCGCACCCAGGGUCCAGGGGUUCUCCUCUUUAGGGUCUAGACCCCACCAACCAGGGUGCAAUGGGCAGAUCAGGUACACCUGAACCCUGGGUCCGGGGGAUUCCCCCCUCUAGGGGCAAAUACCCUGGAACCCCACAGGAAAUCAAAUAUCGCCAAACAUAGAAUCGAGGAACCUCCCCCUUCUAGGGGCGAGACCCUCCAUCCUGGAUACUACAGAGAGAUAAUGCACGGCCACAUCCAGGGUCUAAGGGAAUCCCCCCCUCUAGGGGUGAGACCCCUCGAACCCGGGUGCUGGGAGGAGCUCCCACGACAGCCAGUGUCAAGGGGACUCCCCACUAUAGGAGCAAGACCCCUCGAACCCGGGACCCGUGGGAGAUCAGGUACGGCUGCACCCAAGGACCAGGGGACUCACCCCUCGAGGGUAGAGACCCCUUGAACCAGAUGCCAUGGAGACAUCAGGUAUGGCAGCACCCAGGGUCCAGGACGCCUCCCUCCAGGCGCCAGACUACUGGCACCCGGAAGCCAGAGGGAGAUUAAAUACAGCCGUAACCAGCAUUUGAAGGACUCCCCCUCUAGGGGAGAGACCCCUCUGUGGGAAGCCAUCCUGACACGUGACUGGGCGGCUCCCGUUAAGGGUCUGAGGCUUCUGGCUGUGUCGGAAUUUUCCCGGCCCUUUCCUGAUGAGAGAACCCGUCCGUGUGGGGGUGUGACUGACCACUGACCCCGGGGGCCCAAUCACUGACCCUGACCUUGGAGUGCAGUCCCCCCUCAACCUUCAUUGGAUGGAAUUAUCCCCUGAAUUUCUUGUUCCCCAAUAAAAGGCUACUCCCUGGCGUGUUCACUCUCUCUCUCUCCUGCUAGCCCUGAGUAAUCCUUGCUGCCCUGCUGGGCGGUUAGAGGUUGGAGCCAGAGAGGGGAGCCGUCUCGGACCUGGCAAUAGAAAUAAGAUAACUGAGUCUGUGUGUUUUAUUUCGAUCUCUUCUAACUAACUUUAUGCCUAGAACCUCAUUAAUGAAACCAUUGCGCAGGCCGCGUGGUAGACCCCUCGAACCCGGGUUCCAGGGGGGAGAUCAGGUACCACCGUACCCAGGAUCUAGUGGACAUACCACACUAGGGGCAAGACCCCGCGAACCUGAGGCUGGGUGGAGAUCAUGUAUGACCACACACAGAGACCAGGGGAUGCCCUUAACUUGGGGCAAGACCCCUCGAUCCUGGGUGCUGGGGGGAGACCAAGUACGGCCACACCCAGGGACCAGGGGAUGCCCUCUCUAAGGGAGAGACCCAUGGAACCUGGGUGCCUAGGAAGAUAAAGUACUGCUGCACUCAGGAUCCAGGGAACUCCCCUGUCAAGGGGCCAAAGCCCUCAAACCUGGGUGCCGGGGGCACAACAGGUAAAGCGGUACCCAGGGUCCAGGGAAAACCUCCUCUAGGGACAAAACGCCUGGAACCCGUUUGAUGGGGGGAGAUAAGGUACAGCCACACCCAGGGACAAAGGGACGUCCACUUCAGACGCGAGACACCUGGAACCCGGGUGCUGGGGUAGUUCAGUUACUGCUGCACCCAGGGUCUAGGGAACUGCCCCCUCUAGGUGCAAAACCACUCGAACCCGGUUGAAGGGGGGAUAUCAGGAACUGCCUCACCCAUGGUCCAUGGAACUCCUCCAUCUAGGGGCGACACCGUCAAACACAGUGCCGGGGGGAGAUCAGGUACGGCCAAAAACAGGGUCCAGGGUACUUGCCCUUCUAGGGGCGAUACCCCUGGAACCCGGGUUCAGAUCAAGUACUGCCGCUCACAGGGUCGAGCGGAGUCCCCCCUCUAGGGGAGAGACCUUCAAACCCAGAUGCAGGAGGGAGAUCAUGUACUGCCACACCCAGGGUCCAGGGGACUCCCUGCUCUAGGGGCAAGACCCCACAUACUGAGGGAAAAUCAUGUACCACGGCACACAGUGCCUAGGUGACUCCCCCCUAGAGGGGCAAGACCUUCGAACCCGGAUGCCGGGGAGAGAUCAUGUAUGGCCACACCCAGGGUCCGGGGAACUCACCCCUCUAGGGGAGAGACCCCUUGAACCUGGGUGUCAGGGUGGUGGCUACCGCCACAGCCAUUGUCGAGGGGAUUCUCUACUCUAGGGACAAUAAAACUCAAACCAGGUCUCGGGGAGAGAUAAGGUACAGCCGCACACAGUGUCCAGGGCACUCCGCCCUCUAGGGAAUAGAGACCUUGAACAAGAUGCAACGGCGAGAUCAGGUACUUAGCACCCAGGGUCCAGGGACACCCUCCCUAGGGGCGAGCCACCUCAAACCUGAUGAGGGGGGAGAACAGGUGCUGCCGCACCCAGGGAACAGGGGACGACCCCCACUAUGGAGGAGACCCCUGAACCCGGGUGUCAGUUGGAGAUAAGGUUCAGCGGCAACCAGUGUCCAGGGGAAGCUCAUCUCAAGGGACCAGACCCCUCAAUCCCAGGUGUUGGUGAGAGAGAAGGAUUGGCUGCAACCAGGGUCCAGGGGAUGCCCAUAUCUAGGGACGAGACUCCUCGAACCCGGGUGUCGGUGGGAGAUAAGCUAGGCCACACCCAGUGUCCAGGGUUCCCACUCUUUAGUGUCGAGACCCCACAAACUCAAGUGCUAGGGGAUAUCAGAUAUGCCUGGACCCAGGGUCCGGGGAUUCCCCUAUCUAGGGGUGAGACCCCUCGAACCCGGGGGGAAAUCAAGUACCGCCGCACACAGGGUCGAGGAGACUCCCCCUUCUAGGGGAGAGACACCUCGAACCCAGAUACCGGAGGAAGAUCAUGUACGGCACGGCUGCACCUAGGAUGCAGGGAACUCCCCACUCUAGGGACGAGACCUGAAGAACACGAGGAUUCGUAUGAGAUUAGUUAGGGCUGCACCCAGGGUCCAGGGGUCCCCCUAUUUAGGGGUGAGACACCUCUUACCCAUGUGAAGAGGGGAGAUGAGGUACGGCCACACCCAGUGUCAAGGAAUUCCUCCCUCUAUGGGCGAGACCCCUCAAACACGGAUGCUCGGGGGAGAUCAGUAGGGCUGCACCCAGGUUCCAGGGGCUCCCCCUCUAGCGGCGAGACCCCUCGAACCCGGGGGGGAGGUCAGGUACCACCGCAUACAAGGUCAAGGGGAUUUCUCCCUGUAGGGACGAGACCCCAUGAGCCCGGGUGUAGGGAGGAGAUAAGCUAUGGGCUUACACAGGGUUCAGGGUACUCCUCCAUCUAGGGGUGAGACCUCUCGAAUGAGUUGCCACGGGGAGAUCAGUUAUGGCCGCAUCCAGGCUCCAGGGAUGCGCCCCUCUUUGGGGAAUCAUCUUGAAACAGGUGCCAGGUGCCGGGAGGAGAUCAGGUAUGGCCGCACCCAGUGUACAGGGGAUGCCCCCCUCUAGAGACGAGACCCCUUGAACCCAGUUCCAGUGGAGAUCAGGUACUGCUGCACCUGACACGGGCAUGCCCCCCUAUAGAGGAGAGACCCCUCAAACCCGGGAGCCUGGGGGAUAUUAGAUAUGGUGAAACCAAGGGUCCAGGGGGAUGAUACCCUUGGAACUGGUGCCAGGGGAGAUAGGUAUCCAGUAACAGCCACAUCCAGUUCCAGGGACUCCCCCCACCAGGGGAGAGAACCCUCAAACCUGAUGCCAGGGGGAGAUCAGAUAUGGCAGCAACUAGGAUCCAGGGGACUUUUCCUUAAGGGGCGAGACCCCUCAAACCAAGUGCUGAGGGGAUAUCAGAUACGAGUGCACCAGGGUCCAGGGGACUCAUUUAGGGGCAAAACCUCUCAAAUUAGAUGCCGGGGGUAAAUCAGGUAAGGCCACACCCAGGGAUCAGUGGACGUCCCCCCCUCUAGGGAUGAGACCUCUCAAAACCAGAUGCCAGCGGGACAUCAGGUACAGCCUCACACAGGGACCAGGGGAAGCCCCCUCUAGGGGUGAGACCCCUGGAAUCCGAGUGCCAGGGAAAAUCAAGUAUUGCCGCACCAGGGACCAGGGAACUCCCCCCUCUAGGGGCGAAAUCCCUCAAUCCUGGGUGCGAGGGGGAUAUCAGGUACUGUACGGCCACACCCAGGGUCCAGAUGUAUCCCUCCUCUAGGGACAAGACCCCUUGAACCCGGAUGUUGGUGGGAGAUUAGGUAUGGUGGCACCAAACAUCCAGGGGGACGAUACCCCUGGAAUUUGUGCCGGGGAAGAUCAGGUACUGCUGCACCCAGGUCCAGGAGACUCCCCUGUCUAGGGGAGAGACCCCUCGAACCUGACACCGGGGGAGAUCAGUUAUGGCAGCAACCAGGGUCCAGGGGUCCCCCCCUUAAGGAGCGAAACCCCUCGACCAUGGAUGCCUGGGAAAGAUAAGGUAUGGCAGCACCCAGGGUUCAGGGGACACCCCCCUAUAGGGACGUGACCCCUCGAACCAAGUUCUUUGGGGAAAUCAGGUAAGGCCACACUCAGGGUCCAGGGGACUCCCACAUUUAUGGAUGAAACCGCUCGAAUCAGGAGCCACAGGGAGAUCAGGUACGGCUCCAACAAAGGUCCAGUGGACGCCCGUCUCUAGUGACAAGAACCCUAAAACUCAGGUGCGGGGGGGGGGGGAGAUCAGGAACGGCUGCACCCAGGGUCCAAGGGACUCCUUCAUCUAAGGGAGACACGCUUUGAACCCGGGUGCCAAGGGGUGAUCAGUUACCACCAUACGCAGAAUCCAGUGGACUCCCUCCACUAGUGGCAAGCCCACUCCCAACCGAUGCUUUGGAGAGAUCCGAUACGGCCGAAAGCAGGAACCAGUAGAUGCCCCCCCUUCUUGGGGAGAGACCCCUCAAAACCAAGUGCCGGGGGACAUCUGGUACGGCCGCACACAAGGACCAGGGGACACCCCCUCUAGGGAUGAGACCCCUGGAACCCGCAUGCCGGGGAAGAUCAGGUAGUGCCACACCAGGGUCCAGGGAUCUCCCCCCUCCAGGGGAGAGACCCCUGGAACACACAUGUUGGGGGGAGCUCCCAAUGGAGCCAGGGUCGAGGGGACACCCCACUUUAGAAGCGAGACCCCUCAAACUCAGGAGCCGAGGGAGAUCAGUUACAGCCAAACACAGAGACCCAGGGACUCCCCGGUCUAGGUUAGAAACCCCUCUAAACAGAUGCCGGGAGGUCAGGUACGGCAGCACCCAGGGACCAGGGGAAGCCCCUCUCUAGGUAGGAGACCCCUUGAACCCAGGUGCCAGGGUAGAACAUGUAUGGCCACACCCAGGGUCCAAGGGACUCCCCCCCUCUAGAGAAGAUACCCCUCAAACCCGGGCACUGGGGGCAGAUCAUAUAGAGUAUGGCUGCAUCCAGGAUCCAGGGGACUCCCCCUCUAGUGGCAAAACUCAUUGAAACUGGGUGCCAGGGAGAGAUCAGGUAUGAUAUGGCUGCACCCAGGAUUCAGGGGACUCCCCGCUCUAGGGAGGAGAACCCUUGAACCCGGGGGUCUGUGUGAGAUUAGGUGUGGCCCCACCCAGGGUCCAGGGAUUCCCCUCUUUAGGGGUGAGACUUCUCAUACCAGAGUGUAGGUGGAAGAUCAGGUACGGCUGCACCAAAAAGGGUCCAGGGAAUUCCUCCCUCUAGAGGCAAGAACAGUCCCACACGGAUGCUCGGGGGAGAUCAGGUAGGACCGCACCCAGGGUCCAAGGGACGCCCCCUUCUAGAACCCUCAAAAGCGGGUGCCAAGGCGACUUCAGGUACUGCCGCACACAGCGACAAGGGGAUGCCCCCUCAGGGGUACGACCCCUCGAACCUGGGUACCGGAAGAGAUCAGGUAGGGCCGAACUCAUGGACCACGGGAAACCCUCGCUAGGGGAGAGACCCCUCAAACCCGUGUGUCGGGUGGAGCUCCCGCCGCAGCCAGGGUCGAGGGGACUGCCUCCCUAAGGUGAGACCUCUCGAACUCGGGAGCUGGGGGAGAUCAAUUAACAGCCGCACACAGGGUAAAGUGGACUCCCCACUCUAGGGUAAAGACCACUUAAAACAGAUGCCUGGAGGAGAUCAGGUACCUCUGCACCCAUUGUAUAGAGGAUGCUCCCUCUAGGGAGGAGAACCUUUGAACCCGGUGCCAGGGGAGAUCAGGUACUGCCUCAACCUGGGAACAGAGGAUGCCCCCCUAUAGAGUCGAGAUCCCUGGAAUCCAGGUGCCAGGGAAAGAUUAAGCAUGAUGGCACCAAGGGUCCAAGGGGAGGAUACCACUGGAACCGGGUGCCGGGGUAGAUCAGGUAUGGCUGCACCCAGGGUCCAGGGGACUCCCCCCACUAGGGGAGAGACACCUCAACCCUGUGUCAGGUGGAGCUCCCGCUGCAGCCAGGGUCGAGGGGACUCCCUCCAUAAGGGCGAGACCUUUCAAACCCAGCAGCCAGGGGAGAUCAAUUAACAAGCUGCACACAGGUUAAAGUAGACUCCCCACUGUAGGGUACACACCACUUGAAACAGAUGCCGAGAGGAGAUCAGGUAUGGCUGCAGCCCGUGUAUAAAGGACGCCUCCUCUAGGGAUGAGAACCCUUGAACCUGGUGCCAGGGGAGAUCAGGUACUGCCGCACCCAGGGACCAGAGGAUGCCCCGCUAUAGAGGCGAGACCCCUGGAACCCGGGUGCCAGGGGAAGAUUAGGUAUGGUUGCACCAAGAGUCCAGGGGGGCGAUACCCCUGGAACCGGGUGCUGGUGUAGAUCAGGUACGGCUGCACCCAGGGUACAGGGGACUCAACCCUCUAGGGGAGAGACCCUAGAACUUGAUGCCUGGGGGAGAUCAGGUAUGGCAGCAACCAGGGUCCAGGGGUACCCCUCUUAAAGGCGAGACCCCUCAAAAGCGGAUGCUGUGGGGAGAUCAGGUACAGCCUCACCCAGAGUCCAGGGGCCUUCCCCCUCUAGGGUAUAGACCACUUGAACCAUGUGCAGGGGAGAGAUCAGGUACCGAAGCACCCAGGGUCCAGAGACACCCCUCUCUAAUGGCGAGACCCCUCAAACCCGGUUCAGGGGGAUAUCAGGUUUAGGGCUGCACCCAGGGUCAAGAGGAAGCGCUCCUCUUCGGGAGAGACACCUCGAACCUGGGUGCCAGGGGAAGAUCAGGUAGUGCUGCUCCCAGUGUCCAGAGAACUCCCCCCUCUAGUGUCUAGAUCCCUGGAAACCGCUGCCCAGGGGAGAUGAGGUACAACCGCACCCAGAAUCCGGGGGACGCCCCCUUUUGGGGCAAGACUCCUCUAACAUGUGUGCCAUUGGGAGAUCAGGUACGUCCUCACCCAGGGUCCAGGUGUCCUCCUCUUUAGGGUAGAGACCCCUAGAAGCGGGACCAAGGGAAUAUCAGGCACAGCGGCACCCAGGGUCCGAGGGACUCCCCACUCUAGGUGUGAGGCACCUCAAACCCAGGGGGAGAUCGAGUACCACCGCACAAAGGGUCAAGGGGGUUACCCCUACUAGAGACCCUCUGCGGCAGUCUAGCUGCAGCAAAAUAACCGGGAGUUGACGAGCAACUUGUGUAGAUUGAUACAGCAGGAGUGGGAGCCGUAUAUUGUAGGACAACAGAGGUAUUCAUACAUUCCACACAGCUUAUCUUAAUUAACGUAAACUAGAUACAGCAGUCAACCAAUAAGAAAUCUCCACACUUAAUGGCUCGCUGGUGUUACUUCACAAACCACUCCCUCUGGAAAAAUGCCAGGCGCCGUCUACAGACUCUAACAACCCUGGAACCCAGAUACCGGGGACAGAUAUGGUAUGGCAGUGCGCAGGGUCCAAGGGACUUCUCCCUCAAGAAUAGAGACCCAUCGAACCCGGGUGCCAGGAGGGAGCUUUCGCCUCAGGUAGAUUGGAGGGGACUCCCCACUAUACUGGGGAGAACCCUGGAUCCAGGUUGCCAGGGGAGAUCAAGUAUGGCCGCACCCAGGAACCAGGGGAAACCCUCCUCUAGGGGCGAGACACCUCUACCCAGAUGCCAGGGGAAUUUCAGGUAUGGCAGCACCCAGGGUCCAGGGAUGCACACCCUAGGCAAGAGACUCUUCCUCAAAAUGGAUAUCCGGGGGAGAUCAGGUAUGUCUGCAAGGAGGAUCUAGGAGAUUCUCCCCUCUAUGGGCACGACCCCUUAAACAAAGUGCCGAGGGGAGAUCAGGUAUGGCACCACCCAUGAUCCACGGGACUCCCCCUCUAGGGGAGAGACCCCUUAAACCCACGUGUAGGGGGAGCUCCCUCCGCAGCCAGGGACGAGUGGAAUCCCCACCCUUGGGGCAAGACCCCUCAAACCCGGGAGUCAGGGGAGAACAGUUACGGCUGCACCCAGGGUAAAGUGGAUUCCCCACGGUAGGGUCAGACUUCACGAAACUAAUGCUGGGAGGAGAUCAGGUAUGGCAGCACCCAGGGUCCAGCGACGCCCCCCUCUAUGGAUGAGUCUCCUCUAACACUGAGGCUGGGGGUAGAUCAGUUACCGCCACAAACAGGGUCCAGGUGAUUCCCCACAUUAGGGGCGAAAGGUCUCAAACCAGGUCCUGGGGGUGAGAUCAGGUACGGCCGCACCCAGGGUCCAGGGAACUCCCCCUCUAGGGGUGAAACCCAUUGAACCUGGGUGCUAGAGGGAGAUCAGGUAUGGUACGGCCGCAAGCAUGGUCCAGGGAACUCCGACCUCUAGGGAGGAGACCUCUCGAACCCGGGUGAAUGGGGGAUAUCAGGUACUGCCGCACCCAUAGUCCAGGGAACUCCCCCAUCUAGGGGCGAGACCGUCAAACACAGUGCUGGGGUCAGAUCAGUUUACGGCCACAACCUGGGUCCAGGGUACUUCCCCUUCUAAGGGCGAGACCACUGGAACCCGUGUUAAGAUCAAAUACUGCAGCACACAGUGUGGAGGGGCCUCCCCCGUCUAGGGUCUAUACGUUCAAACGUAGAGGGAGAUCAUGCAUGGCCUCACCCAGGGUCCAGAGGACUGCCCCCUCUAGGAGCGAGACCCCACAAACCUGAGGGAAAAUCAUGUACCACUACACACAGGGUCCAGUUGAUUCCCUCAUCUCGGGGAGAGACCCCUUGAACCCGGGUGUCUGCGGGAGCUCCCACCACAGCCAAUGUUAAAGGGACUCUCUAAAGUAGGGGCGAGAACCCUGGAACCAGGGUCCAAAGGGGGGAGAUCAUGUACGGCGGCACUCAGUGUCCAGGGGACUCCCCCCGCUCUAGGGUAGCGACCACUCGAACCAGAUGGAGGGGAGAGAUCAGGUAUGGAAGCAUCCAGGGUCCAGAGACACCCCCCACUAAGGGCGAGAUCACUCAAACCUGGUGCAGGAGGAGAUCAGGUUUAUGGCUGCACCCAGAGACCAGGGGACGACCCCUCUAGGGAGGAGACCGUGGAACCCGGGUGCUGGGGAAAUCAGGUACUGCCGCAACCAGGGUCCAGGGCACUCCUCCAUCUACGGACGAGACUCCUUAAACCCGGGGGGAGAUUAGGUUCCACUGCACACAGGACAAGGGGACUGCCCCCUCUAGGGGUUAGACCCCUCGAACCCAGGUUCCGGGGGGAGAUCAGGUACCACCGCACGCAGGUUCCAGUGGACUCUCCUCUCUCUGGGCGACACCCCUCGAACCAGUGAAUGGGAGAUCAGGUACGGCCACACCCAGGGACCAGGGGACACACCCCCCAGGGGAGAGACCCCUCGAACCUGAGUGCUGGGGCGAAAUCAACUAUGGCUACACCCAGGGGACAGAGGACGUCCCAUCUUCGGUGCAAGACAACUGAAACCCAGGUGCUGGGGAAGAUCAGAUAUUACCGCAUCCAGGGUCAAGGGAACUCUCCCACUCUAGGGGUGGCAGGGGGAGAUCAGGUAUGGUACUGCAGCACUCCUGUGUGCCAGGGGGAGAUCAGGUAUGGUACGGUAGCACCCAGGGUCAAGAUAACUCCCCGCUCAAGGAAUGAGGCCCCUGGAACCCGGGUGUCAGUGGGAGCUAAGGUUCGCCCCCCCCCCAGGGUCCAGGGGAAGGCCCCCUAAAGUGUAGAGACCCCUCAAACCCGGGUGUCGGUGAGAAAUAAUGUUUGGCCACAACCCUCUUUAGGGACCAUACCCUUCGAACCCGGGUGUCGGUAGAAGAUAAGUUUUGGCCACACCUCGUGUCCAGGAUUCGCCCACUUUAGUGUUGAGACCCCUCAAACCAGGGUGCCUGGGGAGAUCAGAUAUGCCUGGACGGAGGAUGCGGGGAUUCCCAUCUAGGGGUGAGACCGCUGGAACCUGGGUGGAGAUUAGGUUCCAGUGCACACAAAGAAGAGGGGUCUUCCCUCUCUACAGGUGAGACCCCUCGAACCCAGGUUCUAGGGGGAGAUCAGGUACCACUGCACCCAGGGUCCAGUGGACUCUCCCCUCUAAAGGCAACACCCCUCGAAACUGGUGUGAGGGGAGAUCAGUUAGGGCUGCACAGAGGGUCCAAGGGAUGUCCGCCUCUACGGGGGACACAACUCAAAACUGGGUGCCAGGGGGACAUCAGAUACGGCUGCACACAGGUACCAGGGGACAGCAUCUCAAGGGGUGAGACCCUUCAGACCCAAGUGCCAGGGGAGAUCAGGUAUGGCCGCACCCAGAGACCAUGGGACACUGCCCUCUAGGGGCGAGAUGCCUCUAACCAGAUGCCCGGGGAAUUUCAGGUAUGGCAGUACCCAGGUUCCACGGACGCAUCCUCUAGGGGCGAGAGUCUUGGAAACAGAUGCGGGGGGAGUUCAGGUACUCCCGCACCCAGCGACCAGGGGACUCUCCCCUCUCGGGGCAAGACCGCUCAAACACCGUGUUCGGGGAAGAUGAGGUACCGCCGCACGCAUGAUCCAGAGGACUGCCCCUUCUAGGGGAGAGACCCAUGGAACCCGCGGGUAGGGUGAGCUCCCGCCACAUCCAGGGUCGGGUGGACUACCCACCUUUGGGGCGAGACCCCUCAAACCCAGGAGCCGGGGAAGAUUAGUUAUGGCCACACCCAGGGUAAAGGGGACUCUCCCCUGUAGAGUAGAGACCUCUUGAAACAGAUGCCGGGAAGAGUACAUGUAAGGCAGCACCCGGGGUCCAGGGACUCUCCCCUGUAUGGGCGAGUCUCCUCUAACACAGAUCCCGGGGUAGAUCAGAUACGUCCGCAUCCAGGGUGAAGGGGACUCCCCACGUUAGGGCAAAACAACUUAAACCAGGUGUCCGGGGGAGAUAGGUACGGACGCACCCAGGGUCCAGGGAACUCUCCCGUCUAGGGGUGUAACCCCUUGAACCUGGGAGCCGGAGGGAGAUCAGGUGUGGCACGGCAGCAACCACGGUCCAGCGGACUCUGUCUUUUAGGGACGAGACUUCUCGCUCCCAGGUUAAUGGGGGAUAUCAGGUAUUGCCAUACCCAUGGUCCAGGGAACUCGCCCAUCUAGGGGUGAGACCGUCAAACAUGGUGCUUGGGGGAGAUCGCAUAGGGCCGCAACCUGGGUCCAGGGUACUCCCCCCUCUAGGGGCGAGACCCACGAACCUGAGUGAAUAUCAUGUACCACCGCACCCAGGGUCGAGUUGACUCCCCCCCCCCAGGGGAGAGACCCCUUGAACCCGGGUGUUUGGGAAAGCUCCCACUACAGCCAUUGUCGAUGGGACUGUAUACUCUAGGGGUGAGAACCCUUGAACCAGGGUCCCGGGGGAGAUCGGGUACGGCCACAUUCAGUGUCCAGGGAACUCCUCCCUCAAGGGUAGAGACCACUCGAACCAGAUGAAGGGUGGAGAUCAGGUACGGAAGCACCCAGGGUCCAGGGACACCCCCCACUAGAGGUGAGACCCCGCAAAACCUGUGCAAGGGGGAGAUCAGGUUUACAACCGCACCCAGAGAACAGGGGACGCCCCCCUCUACGCAGGAGACCCCUGGAACCCGGGUGAUGGGGAAUAUCAGGUACUGCCGCACCCAGGGUCCAGGGGACUCCUCCUUCUAGGGGUGAGACCCCACGCACCCGGGGGAAGAUUAGGUUCCACUGCACACAAGGAAGACGGGUCUCCCCCCCUCUACAGGUGAGACUCUUCGAACCCAGAUUCUGGGGAGAGAUUAGGUACUACUGCGCCCAGUGUCCAGUGGACUCUCCCAUCUAGGGGUGACACCCUUCGAGCCUGGUGCGUGGGGAAAUCAGCUAGGGCCACAUCCAGGGUCAAGGGGAUGCCCGCCUCUAGGGGCGACACAACUCAAAACUGGGUGCCAGGGGGACAUCAGAUACGGCUGCACACAGGUACCAGGGGAUGCCACCUCAAGGGGUGAGACCCUUCAAACCCAGGUGCCAGGGGAGAUCAGGUACAGCCGCACCCAGAGACCAGGGUACACCGCCCUCUAGGGACGAGAUGCCAGGGGAAUUUCAGGUACGGCAGCACCCAGUUUCCAGCGUUCCCCCUAUUUAGUGUCGAGACCCCUCGAACCCGGGUGCCAGGGGCAGAUCAGAUACGCCUGGAUCCAGGGUGUGGGGAUUCCCCCAUCUAAGUGUGAGACCCCUCGAACCCUGGUGACGGGGCGAGAUCCCGUUUGGCUGCACCUAGGAUCCAGGGGACCCCUUCCAACUAAGGACGAGAACCCUUAAACCCAGGUGUUUGGGGGAGAUAAGUUACGGUCACACCCAGGGUACAAGAGCUCGCCCCUCUAGGGGAGAGAUGCCUCAAAUCAGGUACUGUGGAAGAUCAGGUAUGGCUACAUCCAGGGACUAGGGGACCGCCCCCUCUGGGGGCGAGAUCCCUGGAACCCAGAUGCAGGGAAGAUCAGAGACGGCCGAACCCAGAGUCCAGGGAACUCACCCCUCUAGGGGGGAAACCCCUCAAACCUGGGUCCCUGAGGGAGAUCAGGUACGGUAUGGCUGCACCCAGGAUCCAGAGGACUUCCCCCUCUAUGGACCAGACCCCUCCAACUCAGGUGUCUGUGUUAGAUUAGGUACGGCCACACCCAAGGUCCAAGGGAUGCCCCUCUCUAGGGUUGUGACCCAUAGAAUUCAGGUGCCAAGAAAGAUCAGGUAGGGCCCCACCCAGGUUCCAGGGGUCCCCCACUGUAUGAGCAAGAACCCUUGUACCCAGGUGAAGGUGGGGAAAUCAGGUACAGCUGCACCCAGGGUCCAGGGAACUCCCCCCUCUGGUGGCGAGACCACUCGAACGUUGUGCCCAAGGAGAGGAGGUUCAGCUGCACCCAGGGUCCAGGGGAUGUCUCAUUCAAGGGGCGUACCCCUCAAACCCAGGGGAGAUCAGGUACCACCACACACAAGGUCGAGGGGACUCCCCAUUCCAGGAGCAAAACCCCUCAACCUGGGUGCAGGGGGGAGACAAGGUAUGGUAUGGCCGCACCCAGGUUCCAGGGGUACCCCUCUUUAGGGUCGAGAUCCCUUGUACCCGGGUGAAGGGGGGACAUCAUUUAAGGCCGCAUUCAGGGUCCAGAAAAUACCUUCCUCUAGGUACGAGUCCCUUCCAACAUGGUGCUGGGGGGAUAUCAGGUAUGGCUGCACCCAGAGUCCAGGGGAUUCCCCUGUCUAGUGGGGUGAAACCUCUAACUCGUGGAGAUAUCAGGUACCACUGAACACAAGGACGAGGGGACUUCCCCACCUAGGGGUGAGACCACUCGAACCCAGGUGACAGGGCGAAAUUAGGUUUGGCCGCACCCAGGAUCCAGGAGACUCCCCCCUAUAGGGAGGAGACCCCUUGAAUCCGGGUGUCACCCUGAAACCAGGUGCCAGGGGUAGAUCAGGUACAGCCACACCCAGGAUCCAGGGGACUCCCGCCACUAGAAGGGAAACCUCUGGUACCAGGUGCCGGGAGGAGAUCAGGGAAGGCCACAUCCAUGGUCCAGGGGAUGCCCCACUCUAAGGAUGAGACCCCUGGAAGCCGGGAGCUGGGAGAGAUCAGUUACUGCCGCACCCAGGGUCCAGGAGAAUCCCCCCUCUAGGGAUGAGACCCCUUGAACACGGGUGUCAGGGGAAGAUCAGGUACGAAUGAACCCAGAUUCCAGGGGAUGCCCCCCUCUAGGGGCCAGAUCCCUCUAACCCUGGCGCCAGGGGAAGAUCAGGUACGGCCUGAUCUUUAGCUUUGAGACCCCUCAAAUCCGGGUGCCAAGGGGAGAUCAGGUACGGCCACCACAAAGGUCCAGGGUCUCCCCCCUCUAGGUGCCAGAUCCCUCCACCCUGGGGGGAUACGAAGUAGCGCCGCACACAGAUCGAAGGGACUCCCCCCUCUAGGGGAGAGAACCUCGAACCCAGAUGCUGGGGGGAGAUAAUGUAUGGCUUCACCGAGCGUCCAGGGGACUCUCCCCGCUACGGGAGAGAAGCCUCGAACCCGUGUGUCGCGGGAGCUCCCACCGCAGCCAGGGUCGAGGGGACUCCCCACUCCAGGGGCGAGACCUCUCCAACCCGGAAGCAGUGGGAGAUCAGGUAAGGCAGCACCCAGGGUCCAGGGACGCCCCCCUCUAGCUGCGAGACUCCUUCAAACUAGAUGGCGGUGGGAGACCAGGUACAGCCGGCCCAGGGUCCAGGGGACUCCCCCGUCUAGGGGCAAAACCUCUGGAACACAGGUGCCAGGGUAUCAGGUUUGGCUGCUCCCAGGAUCCAGGGGACUCCCCACUAGGGAUGAGACCCCUUGAACCCGGUUGUCGGAGAGACAUAAGGUAUGGCAGCACCCAGGGUUUAGUGGACUACCCCCUUUAGGGGUGAGACUCCUCGAACCAGGUGCCAUUGGGACAUCAGCUAAGGCCGCAUCCAAGGUCCAGGAGACUCCAUCCUCUAGGGACAAAACCCAUCAAACAUGGGUGGCAGGGGGAACUCUCACCACAGCCAGGGUCGAGGGGAUUCCUCACACGAGGGAUGGGACCCCACUAAUACGGGUACUGAGGAGAUCAGAUAUGGCAGCACCCAGGUCCAGGGAUGCCCCCCUCUGGGGGAAAGCAGAAGUCAGCUUGGCAAUUUCCCUUAGAGAGUAUUUUGGGUUUGGUUAGAGAGUUGGGCUUGGGUGAAGGGUCGUGUUAGGGUAGGAUUAGGUGAUAAUGCAGUUUGCAGUUAUUGGGAUCAUAUCUAGGGAUUCUGUUAUAUGGUGUAGGGUUAGGUUUUUCUAUUGGGUUUCAGGGAUUCAGGUUGGUGUUGUUUUUAGGAAUAACAAUUUUUAUCUUUCAGUUUGAGUGAGAUGGUGAGUGUCUAUAGUUUUUUUUAUUAGUUUUUUUUUUUUUUUUUUUGGUUGGGUGGUUUUGGUUUGGUUUGUUUUGGUUUUAGGUUUGGUUUGUUUUGAUUUUAGGUUGGUUUUAGGUUUGGUUUUGGACUUGGUACUUUGUGUGAAGGGUUCAUCUAUAGAAUGUAGUAUAAGAAUUCUUUUUAAGAUUUUUGGCCUUAUGGGUUGGGUGGGGGGGGUGAGUGGUAAGAAUUUAGGGGAUACUAAAGGGGGAUUAGUGUGGUGAUGAGUGUUCAUUUGUGGGGUGGGUGAGGUUCGGGUUGGAUAUGGGACAAUGUGUGAAUGGUUAUUGUCCAUUGUAUAUGGAAUCAUGUCAUGGUUAGUCUUAGCUUCUAAGGAUUAGGUGUGGUGCCAUGUGUAUGGGUUAGGAAAAUGGGUUCAGGUUUAGGAUGGAGUAAGAUGAUGGUGUUUGAUAGUAAGGUAUUAUUUUUAGUUGCAGAUAAGCACAAUACCUUUAUUUUAUUUACUUACUUUUAUGUGGUACUGACUAUCAAACCCAGGGCCUCACAACGUGCUGGGCAAGCACUCUACCCCUGAGCCCCAGCCCUGGCCCCUCUUAACUUAUUUUUGUGUGUUGAACUGUUCUAGAAUUCUACACAUAGGUUCUACACAGUCUUAUUUAAUUUUGUAAAUAAUAAAGGGGUAGCAAGGGUCAGGUGCCAGGGGGUCAGUAGAUGAGGAUCUUGCACACAUUCUGAGGCCCAUUCUAUGUGCCAACCACCAGGGACGGUCAGCACCCACUUCCUGUGGGAAAACUCACCGGGUCCAUUGGGGAGGUCAUUCUCCUGACUCUACAGAGCUUGAAGAAAGGCCACCCACCUAUCACCCCCGCUCCCCAACUCCAACAGACCCCAAGCCCCUGCGAUCGUCUGGUUAAACCUCGAAAUUUCACCCUAAUCUCUACCAUAUUCCAGAGGUGUCCUUCGAUGUGUCCCAGGACACAAUAUAAUGACCAGGACAAAAUGGAAUGUUGAGAGCCACAGCCGAAGGGGCCCCAGCAAACUUCCAGCUGCCAGCAAACUUCCAGCUGCUGGCUGAUGAUUGGCUCACAGCGGCCCCAGCAACAUCUAGCUGAUUGGCUCCUCGGCCCCAGCAACAUCUAGCUGAUUGGCUCCUCUGCGGUGAUGCUCAUUGGACUGUUUCCCUGCCCUUUCAGACCACGGAGCUGCUCAUUGGGGGAUUUUUUUGGCUCCGCCCACGUGACCCAGCCAAUCGACCUGAAGAGCAGGAGGAUUGUGGGAGGUGGGGAGAAGCUUGUGUGGGAGAGAGAGGCUUGUGGAAAGCCGGUGGUGGCAGUUGAGGCUCUGAGGGUUUUUCCUGAGAGACUAUUUUGUUUGUCGUGUGUGGUUCUAAAAAUAAAGU